rnacentral:rRNA from 1 species
CGAAGGGGGCUAGCGUUGUUCGGAAUUACUGGGCGUAAAGGGCGCGUAGGCGGUGUGUCAAGUCAGGCGUGAAAGCCCCGGGCUCAACCUGGGAACCGCGCUUGAGACUGGCACGCUCGAGUUCGGGAGAGGAUGGUGGAAUUCCCAGUGUAGAGGUGAAAUUCGUAGAUAUUGGGAAGAACACCGAUGGCGAAGGCAGCCAUCUGGACCGACACUGACGCUGAGGCGCGAAAGCGUGGGGAGCAAACAGGAUUAGAUACCCUGGUAGUCCACGCCGUAAACGAUGAGUGCUAGACGUCGGGGCUCUUGGAGCUUCGGUGUCGCAGCUAACGCAUUAAGCACUCCGCCUGGGGAGUACGGCCGCAAGGUUA